AAAAAAAAAAAAAAAGGCCUUGAGUUGGUAAUUCUCCUGUCUAGAGAUCUGUGGCACUAGGCCUAGCUGAAAAGAAUCUAAAAAGAGAAGACGACCCCUCCUAACGGCACUUGUCUCGGUUCGUCCUUGCACACCAGGACACUGCCUCAGAACCACGCUGCAGCCUCUGGGAAGCAUCAAGAAUACUCACUGGGUAUGCUACACCCUCCAUUCUUGGUACUUCACCACAGACCCACAGGGCUCACAAGGUCACCACUGUCCUCUGACCCUUUCCUUCCCCUGGAUAAACAGCACACGAGCCAUGGCUGCGCCUCUCCAAGAAGGUGACCUGGCCUAGAGUUUUCUACAGACAGAAUGGCUUGCUCCGGUCUUCCACAAGCCCUUGUACUCAGUCACCCUGCAGGGAACAGAGUCCACCCUGCCUUCUUUCUUCCCUGUGGAUGAAGGUACAGUGAGUGUCUCCUGCAGGACAGCGUAGCAGCCAUUCAGAGUUCCACCUGAAGGAAAGGGAGCCAGGAACACCACCUUCCUCACUGAAUCGCAAGCUCGGGCGUCCUGGCCAUGCUCCACCUUCUUGAUGGAGCUGAGAGCCGAGGAAGUCCAAAAGGCCACGGGUCCAGGCCAAGCCUCAUGCACUGGGUAGAGUCCCUAAGAAUAAAGGCAGGUGGCCCUUCACUCUAGGGCGUGAAAACUUAGAGAGGAAAACAGGCUGCUGGAGCAAGCAAAUGUGGGGAGGCUGUGGGCAGAGGGACUCUGGUGUUCCUGGGAAUCCCUGCUCCCAAAGGCAGAUCCCAGUCAAAGAUCGCAGACAUAAUGUGGUUUUCUAGAGUGGUCAAAGGCCUCUCCUCAUCAUGCCAUUAGCCAAGUGUAAGAGGGCCUGGGAUGGGGAGGUAACGCUGGACAGUCAAUGGAAUUCCUCAGGAAGUUGCCUCUAUCCUGGGGGAGAGGGGGGGCGGCACAGCCCCUCCCCAACUCCUGCUCUCAGGGCAGGCUGCCAAGCAUUUCUACAAAAAAUGACCAGUCUCCACCUCCCAGCACCACACCCAAACUGGGAGCCCCCCUCCCAGGGACAAUAUGCAAGUCACCACAGCUACGGUUAAUAAAAAAAAAAAAAAAAUCACUGCCCUCCCCCACAACAGACCCAUUUUAAGUAUUUCACACACAGUUUCAUUUCAACACCCCAGCUACACCCUGGAGGGGGAUUCUCUCUAUUCACAACCACAUUAAAAACACUUGUCUUGGGUUGGUGGUGUGGCUCAGUUGGUAGUGCUUGCCUAGCAUGCAGGUUUGAUCCCCAGCACCACAACAACCAGGUGUGUUCAAAGUCAUCCUUGGCUACACAGACAUGUCUGAAGCCAGCCUGGACUGUACAAGAGACCUCGUCUCAAAACAUAAAAAAGAAAAAAAAAAAAACCUCUUAUCCUGAAAUUCAGGACAGCCACAGCAGAAAACCGCCGAUCCAACGUGGUCAACAAUGGCCACACAACACAGUGAUCCCCGGAAGCACCUCUGACACAGGCUCCCAGGGCUAAUGGUUUCCUUUCAGCCCUUUCCUGCCUCACCAGCUGGGUGGACACCACUUCUACCUCAGUCCUCAAGGUGCAGAGCUCAACCUGGCCAUAGCUCAGAUGGCUGUGCACUCCCCUCCCCCCACGGGGUGUAGGUCCCCAAGGGGCAGGGGCUGCUUCCAUUCCCUCUGGAGAACUCUCAGGUAGCCUUUCCCAGUCUCCUUCGCUCCUGCCCCUCCUUGGCAGGGAAUGAAGGGGUGUCCUGCACUAUUUAGGAGGUAAGAUGGAGGGUCCAGGACAUAGACCCUAAGGUUUCAGUAUCCCGUAGAAAGCCCAGGGCCACGCAGGCUCACAGUGAGAGGCAGGUGAGCUGCCUGAGAAGUGGUUCAAAGGAGACAAAACAAAAACUCUAGCCACGGCCCCCUCCGUGGGCCAUCAUCUGGCUGUCCCCCUGCGAUUGAGGACGCACCCUGCAACUGCUAUCAUUUCCAACCCACUUCCUCCAUACUUGGCAGCCUCUUCUCUAGCCCUUCCACGUGAGGAGAACAUCUCUUUUGUAUUCGGGGUGUGCUGUGCUUCAAAACAAAACAAAAUAAAAAAGGCCCACUUCCCUUGCCCAGUCCUGAGUAGGAGCGAACUACAAGUUAAAAUUAAACGGAAAGUUUGUACUUCGGGUUUAGAUGUCCUCCCAGUUCCACCAGCCAUUUUUAAAACAUCCCAACGCAGUUGGUUACUCUGUGUAGCCCCAGCGACCAAGAUUACUCUGCUUACACAGGAACUUCCAGCCCCAGGCAGGAGGCAAUCUCCAUUCCCCCAGAGGUCACACCCAGGAGGAGGCUGGCACUCACAUCCUGCUGGCAGUGGGGAGGUACCACAGAUUCCCAAGAAGUCAGCCUGCCCUUGCUCCCCUGUUCUUAAAAAACAAAACAAACAAACAAACAAAAAAACCAACAAAACCCCGACCCACCCCACCCCAAGCUUGGGUGUGCCAUAGUUCCUCACCAGUGGGAGCUGAAUUUCAUGAUAAACACUAACACACUCACUCUGCUCAAGAACUUGUUUGUUUCAGGAAUCUGCCUUUACAGAUUUCUCAGAUGUGACCUUUCUCCUACAUCUCUAAUGCUGCAGCCCCGGUCACUGCCACCAAGCUACUUCAAACUAGAAGGCUGUGACCUCAGGGGAGGAUGUGGUUAGGCGAUAGCCUGGUCUACUGGUAACAGACCUCACCCUGGAUGCAAGACCCCUACCCUGGGCUCAAUGAUACCAUCUCUGUCCUCUGGAGUCCGAGCUUCUACCUCUUAGAAAGGGGGCGGUGACAUCUGUUUAACCUACAAAGUGCACAUUCCAGCCUCAAAAAAAACGCUGGGAAACUGUUUAAGUUUCUAAAUGUGAUCCACAAGCCUCCCCUCGUCACCUAUCCCUGUACCCAAAUCUAGUUCAAGCUCCCCCCACCCCACCCCCAGCCAUCCUUGUAAUUGGCACUGAGCACCCAGGCUGGGCUCCGGGCUCAGAGGCGGUUGCUGCAUGAAUCAUUUAAUCGUGUAUUAAGCAUCUGAUCCUCCUAGAGGUCAGAGACUGUCCUUCCCCAUAAUCAGCCUAGCGGGAACGCACACCACAGCACUGCUUAGCAAAUGCCCCCCUUAUUGGGCCAGGCACAAUAUGAGUCCUGGGGACACCCAAAGAGAGGGGCAAAACAGCCCUGACACACAGCGCGAAAACAGUGUGCUGUAACCGGUGGAAAUCAACGCCGCAUGAGCUCUGUCUUUCAUACAGCAGCUUUGGGUAUGUGCCUAUGCCAGUCAGGCACCAGCCCUGACAGCCCAUCAGCCGCUACCCUACCAAACUGGCCCAGCACUCAGCAUAUAGGCCUCCAGUUCUCCCUACACAGGGCACUCCUGCCACAUUGUUGGCUGAAGAGACACAGAAGCCAUGGUGAACCAAGAUGGGGUUAGGGGAGGAGUCUACCAGAAAGAGCAGCGGCUGGUGGCAUGCCGGGAGAUAGCUGGUAAAUAGCCCCAUCCCAGAGUACCAAGUAGUAGGAUGAGUUAGGGAGUUAGCAGUCUUCAAAUGUCCCUAGUAGAUAAGACAGGCCACUGAGGGCGGAUCGGAGGCACCCAGAAAGACCAGAGGGAGAUGCUGUCUCAGCCAGGAAUGGCUAUGUAACUACAGCCCAGUGCAAAACGAAAAGGUGGGUCCCUUGUUCACAAGACACAAAACAAAAUCUCAUAAAGUUUUAUGACGGUGACAGCCAAGUAUGUGCGUGGGUCACAUGGCUCUGAUUAAAAUGGACAGCUUGGAUCUACAACAGCUUUCUAAAACAUAAAGUCCCGGAAGGAAGGAUACUUUUGAGAGCUCUGCUCCUUACUUUUUCAGAACUUCUGUGGUAACUGAGAGAGCGGGCAGGAGGCAGGCAGGCUUUGUAGUCAAACAGACCUGGCUUAGUCCAAGUUUCUCUCUCUAGCCCAGUGGUUUUCAACCUGUGGGUCGAGACCUCUUAGAGGAUGGGCAAUCCUUUCACAAGGGUCUCCUAAGACCAUCAGAAAACACAGAUAUUUACAUUACAAUUCACAACAGUAGCAAAACUACAGUUAUGAAGCAGCAACAAAAUACCUUUAUGGCUGGGGGGGGGGUCCCCACAACCUGAGGAACUGUAUUAAAGGGUCUCAGCAUUAGGAAGGUUGAGAACCGCUGAUCUAGGACAUCUCACCUCCCUGGGCUUCUAGUUUCCUGUCACAACUCUAGUGCCAACCACCUAGGGCUGGAUUAAACAAUAAGAUGUCCUAGCCCAGAACGUCACUGGCUUGGAAAAAGUCACCCAUCACCCCCUUGACCCACAGCUGGCUCCACUAUAGUACCCACACAUGUAUAGCAUCCACACUGAAGAUGCCGGCUUGGAAAACUAAAGCACCUAACCUGUCCCUGUCCUCCAAGCUGCCUGCCAUGGGCUCCUAGCUCAACAUCCUGAGCCCCCCACACUGAUCUGGAGAUGCAUAUGUUCAACCUCUACAUCUUGUUUUGCUGGUUUUUCUAUACCAAGCUCCAGCCAUGAUUUUCCUUUCCUUUACUGAGAGAUAAUCAAAUAAAUAAACGUGGCUUUGGUUUCAACCUUGUCAGCCCCUCACCAAUUUAGGUUCCAAGUUCCAGGCUUCGAACAGAAGACUCCCAUCAGAUUGACCCUGUGUGUUUUGGUGCUCCUGGGUUUUAACUAGGUCAGCUUUUAAAUGGGCCAUCCCCCGUCGCAGAUCCCAUUUCUAGCUAGAAGGCCAAACCGUAUGAGUCAUCGGGGUUUCAGACAGAGAUAAUAGAUGCAUGCUUGCGUUUGUUUUACCGGUAAUCUGCUUACCAACCUUCUGUUUACCAACCGUUGUGGUUAGAACCUGCAAAACUCAGUCAGGUUCCACUCGGGAAGGGACUCAGCUAUGGGUCAGAAGUUGGAUAUUUUGAAAACUGGAGGGGUCUUAGGGAUCAGAGCCCAGUGGCUUUCUGAUCACAACCGCUGCAAGGUACACGUUUCCAGGGCUAGAGAGACGUUUCACAAGUUAAGGCAUUUGCUGCUCUUGUACAGGGCCAGCCAGACUUUGGUUGGUGUGCAGCACCAAGGGUCAGAGGCUCACAAGCCUGUAACCCCAGCUAGGGAGGAGGGUGGAUUUGUGACCUAUUCUCCCUCGUCUCCCCAGGCACCUGCAGAUGUAUACACACACACACACACACACACACACACACACACACACACACACACACACACACAUACACACACACACACCCCAAUACAAACAAACCUAAAAAACAUUUUACUCAGAGCAUGCACUUUUUGCGUGUAUAGGCACACAGUGAAAACAAACACCACACUUAGGAUUUCAUCUAUUAAUGUUUUAAAAUCUUAUUUUUUAUUUAUGUGCUUCUGUGAGUGAACGCCACGUGUGGGAGGGACCCUGCGGAGGGCAACCGAUCUCUUGGAGGGAGGAGUUACAGGGUGCUCUGCGUGCUGAGAACAGAAUCCAGGUCCUCUUUAAGAGCUGCAAGUGCUCUUAACUGCCGAGCCAUCUCUCCAGCCCUCUUAUUAUUGGCCCACAGUAAGGGGUGAGGUGGGUCAGAGACAUCGAUUGUUGAGCGGUUUAAAGAGUCCUUGUUUUAGCGGAGGACCCAGGUGCAGGCCUGGGCAGACAGCGCAAGGAAUUCUGGGCUGGGUUAAUUUUUCUCUUCUGCCACACCACGCACAGACACCUGUCCUAGGUCAGGAUCACAGCCCCUGGCAGAAAGCAAGGGAACCCACACACCUUCCACCAAGCUCCCGAGUUCCUGCAGCCUCGGUGGCAGCCAGGGCUUGGGGUCUCCACGCCUCUCAAGAUCUUGCGUAGUCGUAGCUAGGGGCAAAGUUCUUCCUCGCUUUAAAAACAAACAAAACCCUCCCCAAGAAUUGAAAGCAUCUCCGAGCCUUGGAUUUUUUGCUGCUGCGUACAAAGCAGCUCGGCAGGCAGCGGGGGAGCACGUGGCGCGGGCAGCGGUGACGCCAUCCUCAUUACUUGGAGGCGGGAGGGCGGGCCAAGGGAGAUCUGGCCGGCUCAUAGGUCCAGCAGGCAGGGCGGGCCCGACCGCACCAGCCCGCCAGCCCCGUGACUCGCUCUUAUCGCCCGCUGCCCCCACCCCCCCAAACCGGGCGAUGUCGGGUGACUUGGCCUCCACUUCCCGCAGAAGGAGUCGGUACAGGGGACGCUUCCUCUCACUGGAAAGGGCUUGGUGGUACCUGGAGGCCCCGGUGCAGGCCAGGCUUGCUCAAGAGGAUGUCUACCUUCUGCCCCAGCCCGCAUACUAUGCCUUUGCAUUCCUCCUAUCUUUGUUUAAGAUUUUUUUUAAAAAAUGUGUUACGAGUAUUUUGCUUGCACACUGUGUGCGAGCCCCGUGCCCGCAGGGGCCAGAAGAGAUCGUCGGAUAUUCUGAAACUGGUGUUGCAAACGUCUGUGAGCCACUUGUGGGUUCUGGGAACCGAACCCUGGGAGUCUACAAGGGCAGCAAGCGGUCUUAACUGUUGGACUAUCUCUCCAGCUCCCUUUAUUCCUUCUCUUAAGGCCUGGUUCCUGCCUUCCAUCUCAACCAUCGGUUCCUCCUCCCGCACCACGCCUUCCUUCCCUGGCUGCCUGGCCCUGCCCUAGUCGUGACUGACUUUCAGGUAACAGAAAGUUACCAGAGAGGCCUGAAACAGCCUAGACGGCUGCCGUGGGGUCUGACUCCGGCUUGUCUGAAGGUACAGAGGUGUUUCCUUCCUGGCUUCCUGUGCGGCCUGGAAUACAGGGAGAGAGGUCACCAGUCCAGGCGGACAGAAAAAGGGAUUGCUCAAGAAGCACUCAAGGCAUAUGCAAGGAUGCUACAGGCAGUCUCUUGACUUGGCUUCUGUCUCUGCCGUCUCUGAAUUUGCUGUGUGCCCUGGUAGAAGUUGCUGCUCACUCUGGGCUUCAGCCCCAUCCUCCAGACUGCACACUGGCCAGUUGAGCUGGCGUAGAGAGACGAUGAGGCCCUUCUGGUCUGAACUUUGAAUACCUGGUAUUCCCUCUAGAUCUAAACUCAGGCAGGACUCCUAAAGGAGGCAGGGGGCCUCGGGGACGGAGGAGCUCAGGAUUUAGUGUGCCAAGGAGCAAGGUUGUUCAUUAUUCUAGAUAAUAACUAAGAUGGAGAAACAGAUCAGCUAGACUCUUUCGACACACCACGAUCACAAAAAUAGUCCCCAGAGGCCCAGGGUGUGGGGUUCCAAAUGUGGGGAGUCUGUCAGUCAUCUCACAGAGCACCCAGUGGCACCCAAGCCCCUCUUGAGGUAAGGGCAAUGGGCAGGAACCGCCUCCACUCACCAACACUGUGAUUCCUGAUAAAACCCACGGUGGGUGCUGUGUUCUUACUAGAGAGCCACAGCACUGUCCCCAUGCAGUAGAAAAGCUGGGCUGGAUUGGGGCAGAUCCAGUGAUGUUGCAUCAUGGCUCAUUAUUCCCCCUAAAGCCUUUAAUGGCCAUGGAGAUCAAGGGCAAACCCAGAGCAGGAUUCUCAGGACCCCCACCCCCCACCUCUUUCCAAGGCAGCUGUCUCUGCCUCCCCCCAUUGCUAGCUAGCCCUUCUCUGCAGCAAAAAAUGGUGACACAUGGCAUUGCAUGUCACAGGACUUCUACCUCACCUACCCUUCCCAGGAGCCUGUCUGUCCCUGGCUACCAGGGCCCUCUGAGAGUUGCUGUACAGGUCUACAGACUCAGUGUCCCCCAGGUGCCCUGUACAUGGGAACAAGCCACUCAGGCUGGAAGAAAGGUUGAGGCACAGGUCCUUGAAAAGCUUCUAGAUGACUACUCCCUUCUCCAAUGUCUGAGGCAAAGCAUCCCACUAGAACCACUCAUGGGCAGACCAACUGUACCAGCUGAGGGAUGCCAGUGACCAGCAGCUGAAAUCAGAUGGGAAAUUUAAACCAGGCAGUGAUGCUGGGCCCUCUAACGGCCUCGAGGCUGGCUGCUGAGGAAAGCCCUCGGCACACUCCCUAGGGCUACCUUGAGAUGUUGACUGCACAACACAAAGGAGACCAUUUCCCCAGUUUCACUGGCAAUUCAAUGAUUCUGCCCAUCGUGACCCUGUCAUGACCGGCCUCAAAAGACACAAAGCCAUUCAGACUCAAGUGCCGGGACACCGGAGCCUUGGUGUGGAGAUCCACCCCAUUUCCAGUUGACCUUUAAACAAAACAAACAAACAAACAAGAAAACCAAACCAACAGACAAACAAAUGCUCCAGGGAUGGAAAUGUAGCUUACUUGGUAGCAUGCAUGAAACCUGGGUUUGAUCCCCAGCACCAAAUAAGCCAUGCCGGAUGGAAUGCCUCUAGUCCUAGCCCUCAGGGGGUAGAGAGGGUCAAGGCUAUCGCUACCUCCGAUGCCUAAUGAGUUAGAAACCUGUGGUGUAUUCCAAGAUCAGAGUCAGCCUGGGACGGAAACCUUGGGCCUUUUCUGUCCUCUCAGCCUAGGGCUCAGAGGCAGAGAGUCCCAUCCGGAAGGACCUCCUCAAAGCAAGAGGAAACAUAGGAGGCAAAUGAAAGGGACGGAGAGGGAAGUACCCAGACCCAACCUGGGUUGUGUGUGUGUGGGGGGAGGCCCCCAGUCAGGCCUCACACACCUUAGCAGGCAUGGAAAUGCACGAGAGGCCAAACAGCCCCAGAGAAGAAGCCUUGCCCUUGGCUUCCUUCCUACCCCCUCUCUGUCAGGCCUGACAGAGUCUCCUCAUCACAGGAGCUGAAGCCUCGGCAUCCAGGCUCCAAUAGGGAACAAAUGAUUUGGGCAGAGAUGGAAACCAAGCACGCAGAAGAACCUCACUAAUUAAGAAGGGAAUCAAUCAGCUGUUUCUCCCUCAGCCUAACAGGAUGCACUCCACUUGCCUAAGUGAACAAAUCAAAUACAUAUGGCAAAAAUCCUGGUCCAGAAGGAGGGGGAAGAGAAGAGGGAGAGACGGGGAGACAGAGAAGUGGGGGGAAAGGAGGAGGAAGGGGAGGGAGGAAGGGGAAGCUAAGCCAAACCAGUGUCCUGAGUGCCAUUCUCUUCCCCUGGUCUUGCUGGUGAACCUGACCUACACUUAAUUAUUUUAAAAAUAGAACACAGAGCCGGAGCGGUGGUGGGGCGGGCGUUUAAUCCCAGCACUCAGGAGGCAGAGGCAGGUAGAUAUCUGUAAGUUCGAAGCCAGCCUGGUCUACAAAGCGAGUUCCAGGAUAGUCAGAGCUACCCAAAGAAACACUGUUGUUCACAGAUCUACAGUUACUUUAAUCUUAAAAUUCUAAAAACCAAAAUAAAGAACCCCAAAUGUUACAACUUUUGAGGGCUGUUUGAGAGUCAGGGAGGGGCUUGAGAUAAGUGGAUAAGAUAGGUGGAGAUAGGCUGGAGGUAGUUGAUAAGGCUCAGAUCAGUGUCUGAAGGAGUGCCAGACCCCACCCCACCCCACCCCACCGCCAUCACAGUAGCCCACACAGACAAAGCUAUUUGGGCUAUGUUAAGAGAAAUAAGCAGGAAUGGGCAUGGGCGGGAGGUGGGGCUCACCAGUAGAGUGCUUGCCUAGCAUGUACGAGCAUGCCUUAUGUGCAAGUUCUAGUAGCAAGGAUUUGGGGGAGGGGGACCUCAGUGGCUAAAGUCACUCAGUCACCAAGCCUGAGACCUGUGUUUGAUAUUUGGAACCCCCGCGUGGAGAGAACCGACACUUGCAAGUUGUCCGCUGACCUCCACACGCAUACUAUGACACUCAUCUGUGAGCACACAACUGCACAUAAAAUCUAACAAAACCUUUUUUUAAGAAAAAAAAGACAAGUGGAAAAAAACCAAGGCUCCCUGGUGGGAGUGUCGCAAAGCCGAGCUUUACCAAAAGACCAAGCCUUAAAUUCUGGAACCUCAUGGGCAGGCUGAAGAAGGCGACUAGGAUGGGAAGGCAUCUGAAAACCGGGCGCUGGACAAUUGAGGGAGACAGGGGUGCCUAGGCUGGAAGAUGGGAGACCGACCUGCAAUAAUCAAAGGAUGCUAAGCAACCAUCUGCGAAGAGCUCUGCACACAAACUGUGCUGAACGCCCAUUAAAUGGAUGAGUAAUGCAUUCCGAAGCUCUGCUAAGCAGUGCCGUGGCUCUUCUCCUAAAAAUGCUGCUUUGGUUGUGGCUCUGAAGGAGGGUUACCUGCUUAGACCAUGGGCCCAAUCAAUCAUUCAGCCGUCUUUAAUGAGUAGCCACAGUAUGCCAGGCAGCGUGCUAAGUGGUAAGGUAUGGCAUGGCAGAAAACCCAUAUGGUGCCUGCCCUCCCCCGUGUCUGCCUUCCAGUGGGGGAAGUGGACACCAAGCCAGUGAUUGUAUACACCUGUAUUUACAGCUGAAGCGCAGAGGGAAAAAAAGAAAAGCCGUAGUGACAAGGGACAGUAUUGAAAAGGUGGCUAAAGAAGGCCAUCCAAGGUGGGUUUUCUGUGCGGACUUGAGUCCCACAUAGUCUGUGAUCAGGGCCCUUAACAAUGGAAGGAACAGCCCCGCCCGAGGCUCUUAAGUGGGAAGCAUGCUUGGCCACGCUGGGCAGCUGGGGAGCUGUAAGAGCAUCUGUGAAGGGAGGGCCCAGUGAGAGCUUGGUGGGUACAAGGUGCCUAACCGGAUGAACUGAGUUCAGUCCCUGGACCCCCACGUGGUAAAGGAGGGAACAGACUCAGACAAGGCGGCUGACCUCCACAUGAGCAAUGGGACUUUACCAAGGGCUGCCAAUGGUCAUGUUUUCUGGGAGAAGUGGGCUACACUACACAAUGGGAGACAUCCUAUGAAUAUUGCUUUGAUUAUUAUCCUAGGGACACAUGAGACAGUCUGGCUUGGCUCUAGGCGUUUCCACUUACUUAAGCAUGGAGACAUUUUUUGUUGUUUUUGAGACAAGGUCUCAUGUAGCCCAGAUGGUCAUAAACUCUCCAUUGCAACUGAAGAUGACCUUCAACUUCUGAUCUUCCUGCCUCUACCAUCCAAGUUCUAGGAACUCAGGCGUGUACCCAUUUUAAGUUGUGCUGGAGAUCGAACCCAAGGCUUUGGGCAUGCUAGGAAAACUCUACAAACUGAGCUACAUCCCCAGGCCAGAACUGUGGCUUUGGGCAGGACUUCACCAACUCUGUUCACCACUAGAACGGGAAGAAGAGUCUACACCCCACAGGACCGGGCCAGACGCCAGGUGGGAAGGCACUUGGGAAACCUUUGUGUGCUGGGCAUUACUGCAAUCCAUUUCACAAGCAUGUUCCUUACCAAGUAAGAAGCUGUACCCCACAGACUACGGAGGAGGUGCCCUACACCCAAGUCCCCUACUCUUCCAUGUUUGCUGAUCAGAAAGGCAUUAAAAAUAAUCUGGGAAAACAUCCUGCGGUUUUACUUUUCCACUAUAUAGCAGCCAGAAUGCUCUGAACACUCUCCGCCGUAUCCUUCACUUCACUCUGUUGGGAGAAGAACCAGCUGAGUUACACCACGGCAGUGUGUUGGAGGAUAAACUCCAGGGAUGGAGACAAGGGUCCACACCUGGAGGAGGUUCCUUGCUAUGGGCCAUCGAAGCCUCACUCGAACUUCCCGAGAGCCAGAGACAGCCAGGGUGUUCCCAUCCGGACUGAGUAAGAAGCUAUGUGAUAUACAAUGGAAUAUCUGGUCCAAAAUCAAUUUUCGGUUGUUGCUUGUUU